GUGGGGAAUAUUGCACAAUGGGGGAAACCCUGAUGCAGCGACGCCGCGUGGGUGACGAAGUAUUUCGGUAUGUAAAGCCCUAUCAGCAGGGAAGAAGCUGACAGUACCUGACUAAGAAGCCCCGGCUAACUACGUGCCAGCAGCCGCGGUAAUACGUAGGGGGCAAGCGUUAUCCGGAUUUACUGGGUGUAAAGGGAGCGUAGGUGGCAUGGCAAGCCAGAAGUGAAAACCCGGGGCUUAACUCCGCGGAUUGCUUUUGGAACUGUCAGGCUGGAGUGCAGGAGGGGCAGGCGGAAUUCCUGGUGUAGCGGUGAAAUGCGUAGAUAUCAGGAGGAACACCGGUGGCGAAGGCGGCCUGCUGGACUGUAACUGACACUGAGGCUCGAAAGCGUGGGGAGCAAACAGGA
rnacentral:rRNA from 1 species